UACGUAGGGUCCGAGCGUUGUCCGGAAUUACUGGGCGUAAAGAGCUCGUAGGUGGUUUGUCGCGUUGUUCGUGAAAACUCACAGCUUAACUGUGGCGUGCGGGCGAUACGGGCAGACUUGAGUACUGCAGGGGAGACUGGAAUUCUGGUGUAGCGUGGAAUGCGCAGGAUAUCAGGAGGAACACCGGUGGCGAAGGCGGUUCUC
rnacentral:rRNA from 1 species